rnacentral:SRP_RNA from 1 species
GCUGGGUGUGGUGGUGCAUGCCUGAAGUCCCAGCUACUCAGGAAUCUGAGGUGGGAGGAUUGCUUGAGCCCAGGAGGUUGAGACUGCAGUGAGCUAUAAUGGUGCCACUGCCCUCCAGCCUGGGCAACAGAGUGAGACCCCAUCUCUA